rnacentral:rRNA from 1 species
AUUGAACGCUGGCGGCAUGCCUUACACAUGCAAGUCGAACGGUAACGGGCCUUCGGUGCCAACGAGUGGCGAACGGGUGAGUAAUGCAUCGGAACGUACCUUUCAGUGGGGGAUAACGUAGCGAAAGUUACGCUAAUACCGCAUAUUCUGUGAGCAGGAAAGCAGGGGAUCGCAAGACCUUGCGCUGAUUGAGCGGCCGAUGUCAGAUUAGCUAGUUGGUGAGGUAAAGGCUCACCAAGGCGACGAUCUGUAGCGGGUCUGAGAGGAUGAUCCGCCACACUGGAACUGAGACACGGUCCAGACUCCUACGGGAGGCAGCAGUGGGGGAAUUUUUGGACAAUGGGGGCGAACCCUGAUCCAGCCAUGCCGCGUGAGUGAAGAAGGCCUCGG